AUAAAUAAAAUCUUUUUUAAAAAGACUAUCUAGAAAUGAUAAAAAGUGAUGCACGAGAUGAUGUACAACAGAAGGAAACAGACUGCCCUGAACACACUUACUAGAAAAGAAAAGAAAUAAAUGAACAGAGCGUUGGGCCCAGGAGGGCAGGGGAAUGCCAGGGCACCCCUCCCUCAAAGUCAAGCCCGACCAGCAGUGCUCUGUGGCUGAGGGUUUAAACAGUACAUUUCUUAAGGGAAAUAAGGUGCUUUCUAUUAAGUUUAAACACUUAAAUCUGUGCCCUUAUUUUUCCACUCCUAGGAAUUUAUGCUACAGAAAUAUGGUAAAAAAAAAAAUAUUCACAGUAAGAUUGAAACAGAGAAAAACUACCUCUUCCCCUGGAAAACAGUGAAAUACUGUGCAGUCUUUCCAAAGUGCGGGUGUGCCAAAAAUACCAAGUCAACUGAGAAAACACCAUUUUGUAGAAAGAAGUCACAGUAACACACAGUGCAGGAACUAUACUCCUGCUUGUGGACAUCUGUGGGAGACAGGAUUUUUCUCCAUUAUGAUUUUCUGUAUCUUUUAAGUCUUGUGUGACUUUGUGUUGUAUUUGUAAUCAGCAAAAAAUGAUUGUUACAGAUGAAAACAUCAGAUCAAAUAAGUAUCUUAGAACCUAAGUAAAAAGAGAUUAUUUGUAACUAAGUUUAAAGCAAACAGGUGAAAUGGAAGUAUUUCAUAGAGAGGACGGCCGACUUUGUUUUAAGCCUACUGCAACAGUAAGCACCCCUAAAAUUACUUUCCUCCAACCCUCUUAACCAACUAUGACCCCCAGGGAAACUCAAUCACCUUCUUAAAGAGCUUGUCUUGUGCUGAAGAAACCUAUUCAACUCAUUUUUACUUCCCAGAACACAGCACAGCAAACUCACAGAGGAAAAAAUCUAUGGUUAAGAAAGUUGUGUGAGGUAUUCAAAACCAAAUCCUAAUUGCACUUUACUCAGAAAUCUUGUAAGAUCUUCUAAUUAAUCUAGCAAAAUGAAAGAAAAUUUUAGACCCCACCAAAUGACUGAAAACUGAAUCUCAAAUUUUAAAAAAGCACCGAUUAAUAUUUAGAUAAUACAUAUUUCAACUUACAUGUUUUGAAAGGAAAACUGUGCGACAAGGGGCUUUGCAAAUCAAGCACUCAUUUUUGCCACCUAUAAAAGAAACACAAACUUUAGUAUAUUAUAGUGAGUAGUGCUUCUGAAUGUAAGUGCACACUUCAAAUUACACUAUUUCUUAAAAAACAUACAGGAUUAGAAUACUUACAUUUUCUAUGCUCAGACAAUGAAAAGACUGCAUGUGGACAGAGUUGAAAAGAUUUAUUCAGUAAUCUAUUUUUCCUUCUGCCAAUAUGCCCCAAAAUAGUAAUUAUGAAGAUCAACAAUAUUCAAACUUAACUCCAUCUCAGAUUUUCUUACAGUGAGACUCUGUAGUGAUACCUUAAUUUAAAAAUGUUUAAUUAUUCAAAAUGAAAAUAGCUCCUUGCAUGCCAUCCAAGAGAUAAGUAAAAGCUCUGUUCAGCCACCCCCCUGCCCUGCCCCCUCCAGCUUCACCUUGACAGCACCUAAGUCAGUUCCCAGGAGCGCCCUCUGGGGCAUCUGUUGGGCUGCUGGGCCCAUAAGGCGGCGCCUGGCCUGAAAGCACAGGCUAAAUCCCCACCUGCUCUUCUCCAGGGUCUCUGACCCAGACCCACCUACUGCACCACCUUCAUCUCCCCGACACUCCUGUCAUCCUCUGGAGAACCUGCUCCUCCGUGUGGCUGGCUGCUAAGGGCAGCCCUGCAUUGCCUCACCUGCCCCCAUGCGGCACGAGAGCACCCAGUGUCAUUGGAAAACUUCAGUGGGGGCAGUAUGGCCCCUCAUCCUGGGCUCUGCCCCAUCCCCACACAUCUGAGCUUCCCAUUCUCACAAACCAGUUCGGACCGCAGAGCCGGCCAGUCAAUACUGAAUCCUUGUCCUUCCAAGCAGCCACCCAGCCUGAACCCAGGCCUCUCUGUCUCCCCCUCUUCUGGUCCAGUACAGCUAAGAACCAGGAGGGAAAGGUCACUUAACUGGGAAGUGGAUUCACAGACUUGAUUCCAGCACUGCCGAACCUGUGACAUGGCUGAGCAACCCUCCAUUUUUCUUGGGUGUUCUCCUGCCAGUUCCCUAUGGCAGGUAUUCAAACAGGCCCCCCUUUGCUCUUUACUGAGCAAAGAGUCAUGAACUUCCUCAAUCUCCCUGCCUCUCCUCCACUCACCACAGCACAACUCAACUCCCUCUGCUCUUUUCCUCUGUCUUAUCUCAUCUCAUCCCUACAGCACAUGUGAUGGGGUCCUUGUGUAGAAAGACCUGUUCCCUCCCAACAGCCUCUGGAGUUGUCCCCUUGUCUCCAUUCCUACAAACACGUUCAAGUGGCCCUCUUCUGAAAGCACCCACCCUCGGCAGUGUGUUCCCGCCAUCUGCGUCUCUCCGGGGAUUACGGGGCCAGGAGAUCCCUUGGAGCACUGCUACUGCCAGAAGCCACGGAGUUAGAGAUGGCUCCUAAAAAUCCACGGGUUGCACUGAGGGGGGGGGGAAGUAAGAGACCUGACAAAGAGAGGAUCCAUCUGCAGCUGAUGGGCAGGCAAACUGACACACACAGUGCUUAUAAACCUAUCAAACAUAAGCACUCCAGUAAAAGGUGUGAAAGGGGUCCAAAUGAGUAGUUGGCAAAAGCGCAGACUGUCACUAAUAUAUGAGACAAAAAUGCCAGUCAUCCAUGGUGGGGGCAGGGAGCAGCCAGUUUUCUGGGGUGCCUGGUCCUAAGUGCUGGUUCUAUCACACACACCCCCCAGCAGCACCUCCGCCCUUCUGGAUAUCCCAAAGGAAAACAACAUACAAGUGAAUGAGUGGUGUUUCACAGCAAAAUACUAGAAAACAUGCAGAGCUCUUAGGAUUGGAUCCGUUAAAAGACAUCAUGGUAUGGCAACUAAAUGCAGCCUUAAAACUGACGACACAGACUUACUUUAACGUGAAAGGAGGUCCAUGGCCUAUUAAACUCAGGUAACUAAUUGGUAUAUACACAGUCCCAUUUUUGUUGUAGAGAUCUAUAUCUGUAGGAGAAAAUCUGCAAGAAUGUAUACCAAAGAAUAGGGAGGGCUUAUACCUGAGUAAUGAGCAUUAAUCACCUAACGAGCUGUGGUCAGUGCUCCACCCAGAGCACUCAAGCCCUUCUACUGCUUUUUGUGUGUCCCAGCAUCAGUGGCUUUUUGGAGGAACGAACUUGGGCUACUGGAAUGUGCUUCAAGAGCCAGAGGUGCGUGGGAAUCACCUGCCCAAGGUCCGGAACCAGUCCGAAAAACCGUGAACACAGGUCUGUCUGCAUUGUUCUCACCCAAGCUAACCCACGCCACUAACUCCUGUGGGAGGUUCCAAUUCUGACUCUGCCCUGGGAUGCCAAGUCUACAAGGUCUGCUUUCUUUUCCCCACAGCCUCCUCCUACCUUGGCCUAUCUUAAAAAAUGCUCUUCCCAGGUGAAGCCAUGCCCUAACCUUCGCCCUCUCCUCACCCAGGACCUUCAAUUAUUAUCUAUAUGCCAAUUCCCCAACCUAUUCCUGUUGACUCCCAGACCUCUAUACUCAGCUGCCUCCCCUUGGAUGCUCUCAAAGAACCUCAGUGUCCAGUGUAGGCCCCAGAGCAUCAUCUCUGGACACAGAAGGAGCUCCUGUAGCACAGAGAUCCUCCUGCUGAGUGUUUCCGAUCAGUCAGAGAACAUCUCAUAAAAAGAAAAAUACACCCAUGAUCACGUCUCCUGCUUCAAACAAUGGUCCCCUCCUGGCCAGGGCCCCCUGCAGGCAUGCUUUGGCCUACCUGGCUCCCAUCUCUCCUGCAGCCCCCUGAGCUCCACGGACCCGUCCACACUUCCUUCUGCCCUAGGGACCCUGCCACCCCGCUGCACCCUCGCGUGAGGCCAGGUGAGGACGCGCCCCCUGGGCCCUGCCCUGGUCCUUCCGAGCAUCCUCGUCCCAGGGUCUAGAUUCAUGCUACCUUCCAAAAGUUCAACGCGUGCCGCAUCCCCGGCGCUAAGAUGACCACAGCACUGUGCCUGCCCCCGCAGCCCCUCGCCAGCUAUGGCUCCGUCCCUGCGCCCGAGGUGGGUGGACGCAGGUCCCUCCGGGCGCCCCUGCCCAGCCCAGCCAGCCCUCACCUUUACCCAGGCAGACGUCGCAGUACACGUGGCCGCAGUUGGUCAGGCUGAAGCAUGACGUGCGGUGCGGCGGCUGGAAGCAGCGAUUACAGAACACCCAGCUGGCCAUGCCGGACGCGGCAUCCGCCAGCCGCGACAGCCCAGGCCCAGACGCAGUGCACGCGCAGCCCGGAAGCAGCCUCUGGAGCUUCUGCACCUGCGCAGCCUGGAGCUGGUCAGCCGCGCCUGCGCACCGGAGAGUACCGCCACUCCCGCCAAAACCUGUGUUGAAAGGUACCAGCCGGAUGGGGCGGGGUGUGUGUGCGCUGUGAAUAAGAUUCUUCUCCCCUCAGGCUGUUCUGGCUGUUCAGGCUGCACGUGCCGAGGAGCGACACGCACACCAGAGCCGGGUCUCCCUCAUUCCAUCAUUGCAACCCUCGGGACUCGUCUGUGGGCAGUGUGUCGUCGUCCAGGCUGACAUGGGCACGCCGGGAAGGCACAGGCGCAGAGCGGGGUGGCGCCCUCUGUGCCUCCGGAAGCCGCGGUAAGGGAGCUGGAGUCUGGAUUUGAUCCCAUCUCUGACCAGAGUCCACUGAGCACAGGACCCGGGAGACACACAGUGUCACAAGAAUAAAACUGUGAUCUAGAAAA